rnacentral:misc_RNA from 1 species
CAAUUUGGUUAAAGAAUCGAUUUUUGUGCAUAUGGGUCAUCAGAAAGAGGAAUUAAUCAACGAGCUGACGGAGUUAAUCGAUGGGGUUUCUGGUUUACCGGAGUGCCGGUCAGUGUCUAAGAGGAUGUACAGUAAUUUGGUGAGAAGAGUGAAGCUUUUGAGUCCUUUAGUUGAGGAUUUGAAAGAUAGUGAUGGUGUUGAGGUUGGAGAUGAUGUUGUUCAUGGGCUUGAGUUGUUGAAAAUUGCUCUUAUUUCAG